UGUGGAAGAUAAACUGAGGCAUUUCAACACAGGUCGCUCUUUAAAAAUGGUUGGAAAUAAUUGUGCGGUAAAGAAUUGCAACAACCGAUCGAAUAGAAAGGAGAAUGUACAGCUCGACGGAACACCAUUGAGUUUCUUCCGGAUCCCUACAUGGAGAAAAGGCGAGGAAAAGCUCAUAUCUGAACUUACCAAACGUCGAAGAAUGGCAUGGGUGGCCUCGAUCAGAAGGAAGGGCAUAACGUUUGAUUCUCCAGUUACACACUGAGUUUGCUCUAUGCACUUCCACUCCGAUGUCAGUCAAGCGCAUCGUCCUGAAUGCCAGGAGUCUCCUCGCAUGGAGGAAGAGUUGCCAUACAUCAAGAAAGUGGAGGAAGAAUUUAUCCACAUUAAAGAGGAGCAGGAAGAGUAUUUCUUUAGAGUGGGGAACCCCCACAUUGAGGAGCAGCAGCAACCUCAUCCCCUCAAAAAAGAGGAGGAGGACCCUCCAUAUGUUAAAGUGGAGGUGGUGAACACCCCCAAGUGGACUAGUGAGCACUUAAAGGGUGAAGAUGGAGGUCCAAGUGAAGCCAGCAGUUGGACGGAGCCUCCGAAUGGCAGCAGCAGCAGUUCAAAAGAAGGGUCCCAAGCAGACAACCUCAUCGCUCGACCAUCAGAGAGUGACGACUUCACAUCACACUCGCUGUCCUGUUUCAGCAAAUAUCUUGGUUCCGACGCUCAACAGCUAAAGAGAGAUGUACAACUUCCAAUCAAAAAGGAGGAGGGAGAGCUGACAUACAUUAAAGAUGAGGACGAUAUCACCAUGUCGACUGGUGAGCCCUUGAAUAGCGAGGAUGGUCCGAGUGAGGCCAGCAGAGCGACAGAGCCUCCAUGCAGCAGUUCAACAGAAGAAUCGCAAGCACAAAUUUUCAUCGCACCAUCAGAUAGAAAUGGCGCCACGUCACACUCACCUUACAAAGAUGAUGGUCAGAAAAAAUCUCACCGUGGGAAAACCUUUGCUAAUAUCUAUUCCCGUCGUAUGCAUAUGAGGAGCCACACUGGUGAAAAACCUUUUUCCUGCUCAGUUUGUGGUCAAGAAUUCACUCAAAUUCACCUCUUAAAAGAACACACAAGAACACACACUGGUGAAAAACCCUUUUCCUGCUCAGUUUGUGGAAAAAGAUUCGCUCAAGAGAACAACUUAAACACACACACAAGAAUCCACACUGGUGAAAAACCUUUUUCCUGCUCAGUUUGUGGUCAAGGAUUCACUCAAAUUCACCUCUUAAAAGUACACAAAAGAACGCACACUGGUGAAAAACCCUUUUCCUGCUCAGUUUGUGGAAAAAGAUUCGCUCAAAAGAGCAACUUAAACACACACACAAGAACCCACACUGGUGAAAAACCCUUUUCAUGCUCAGUUUGUGGAAAAAGAUUCGCUCAAAAGAGCAACUUAAACACACACGCACAAAUCCACACUGGUGAGAAACCUUUUUCCUGCUCAGUUUGUGGUCAAGAAUUCCGUAAUCAGAGUGCCUUAAAAGUACACACAAGAACCCACACCGGCGAAAAACCUUUUUCCUGCUCAGUUUGUGGUCAAGGAUUCACUGUAAUUCACAACUUAAAACUACACACAAGUACCCACACUGGUGAAAAACCCUUUUCCUGCUCAGUUUGUGGUCACAGUUUCACUGAACAGACAAACUUACAAAGACACGCAAGAACCCACACUGGUGAAAAACCUUUUUCCUGUUCAGUUUGUGGUCACCGUUUCACUGAAAAGACAAACUUACAAAGACACACAAGAACCCACACUGGUGAAAAACCCUUUUCCUGCUCAGUUUGUGGGAGAGGAUUCACCCAGAAGAGCACCUUAAACACACACACAAGAACCCACACUGGUGAAAAGCCCUUUUCCUGCUCAGUUUGUAGUCACAGUUUCGCUGUAAAGACAAACUUAAAAAGACACACAAGAACUCACACUGGUGAGAAACCCUUUUCCUGCUCAGUUUGUGGAAAAAGAUUCACUUAUAAGAGCAUCUUAAACACACACACAAGAACCCACACUGGUGAAAAGCCCUUUUCCUGCACAGUUUGUGGUCACUGUUUCGCUGAAAAGACAAACUUAAAAAGACACACAAGAACUCACACUGGUGAGAAACCCUUUUCCUGCUCAGUUUGUGGUCACAGUUUCACUCAAAAGACAACCUUACAAAAACACAAAAGAAUCCACACUGGUUAAAAAACAUUUUUCCUGCACUGUUUGUGGUCAAAAUUUCGCUCACAAGGAUCGGAUUAAGGGACACGUGUGUAAUUGGGUGAGAAGUAGUGGCCAAUGACUGUUUUGCCUGUCAUCCAUGCUGCUUUCAUCAGAUUGUGCACACAGGUCAAUUGCAGUCUGUAGAGUUUCCUCAAAUCCUGUGGAGGAUUGGCUGUAUUUGUGCCUUACUUGUGCUUUGUCCAAUCCUUGUAUGAUGUGGAUCCAAAAUAUUGCCAAAAGUAUUGGCUCACCUGAUUUAACUCUCAAGUAUUAUAUAGACCCUACCCACCGACGUCACAAAACCACGUGCUCGCUGUAUGGUUCCGCCUCCUUGUCCGUCAUUUUGUCUCUGUAUUAGCAUUGGUUUCAAUUGAUCGAGGAAUUUAAAAUGCAUUUCAUGGAAGACCCGGUUCUUUCGGAUGCCGUAAACUCACUGGGUGUGUUGCAUAAAAGGCGUUAUGUGGAAAAGCUUCGUUCUAUACAGUCGCCAGAUCCAUAUUUGAUGCCCAAAUCGAUGUUUUUCGACCCACUGUCUUCGCCCUGUCUGCCUGACAUCUGCUACGCUGAUAUUUACAACUAUCUUGUCCACACAAAAUCAGCCUAUUCUCACGAAAAUUUGAAAAACUUCAAGAGCUUGGAGGCUUAUAAAUACUUCGUUGCUGGUUGGGUGAAACGGGUCCUUCCUCGUCCACGAAAAUUCGGCAGGAAUCUAUCUUGUGCUUGGAAAGGUGAGUUACGAAAUUUUCAAUUCAAAAUCUUUUAUUCUCGCUAACAUCCACUGUCAAGUCUAAUUUAUUUCAUGUCAUUUGUCAAUGCAGUUAGGGCUUUUUAUGUUUAUAUGGUUUAGCGAUAGCACUCUCACUACAUACAUACGUGUAUGUUGUCGGCGAUUAGCCUAGCAAUGAUCUUAAUUGUGGUUAUUUGUCAGCCCAAAACCCUCUAAGUAUAUCUUAAAUGCAUCUUACCGGAUAUAAAAUGACUACUACAUAGUCUGUGGUGAUUUUUUUGGUGCCCAGUUUUCACGUCGAAUUGCAGCCGUCCAUUUCGCUCUCCUCUUUGGAUCCCUCGGAAUACGGUAAAACUUCAAGUCUCUCCUUCCAUCUUCUCUGUUAGUGCAACCAACAGCCACACAUGCCUUCACCAUUUUGAUUAUUAAUGUUAAGGAGCAGAAAAACACGCCGUAAAUAGGAGGAAUGUACGUAGCCGUAACAGGUUAACACUAUGUUUAGACGGACAAUUGGGCGGUACCAUUCAGGAGAGCGGAGUUGUGACGUCACGUGGGUAGGGUCUAUAUACAGUAUACAGUAUUCUCACUCUUUCAAACUACACUUUUCACAGCUAAUAUUUGAAACAGUAGACCCCAAAUUACAAAAAUUCUAAAUCAUUAUUCAAUAAUAUAAUUACAUAUAUAUGGAAAGUUAUGAUUGGCUCACAUAUUUUAGUUUUUUUGGGGUGUGAUGAUUACAUAUAAUUUAAAAAGUUACUAUUACUACUCUUGAUUGACAGUGACAUAUUACGACAGAGUGUUGGGGCCAAAUAAAGGGAGGGGAAAAAAUGACUACGAGAUUUAAGUUGUACCUUUUCUACAAGAAAAAAAGUUGUUUUAUUACGUAGGGGUAAUGUAGCUGAAUAAGGGGCUACGCACUCUAUCGCAACCUCUGGGUGGGGGUCAAACAUGCAUUUGUCCCUCAUGCUAAAUGUUGCAUGUUGUUUUUGUUGUUAUACAAUAUUUUACGAAAGUAUUGUUUCCUACAUACCCUUAGGAUAUUGGUCAGUUUAUUUUUAUAUUUUUUUCUGCCUCAGUAGUUUUGUUAUAUGAGUUUUUUUGACAGUUUUGAUCAUAUAAUGGUGUGAAUAUAUUAAAAAAUGUUUCAUAUACACAGUUGAUGUCAAUUCCAUUACAUACAUUUUCCCAAUUUUGUGCCAGUAAAUCCUUUUUAAAUGAAUUCCUCACUCGCCUGUACUUGACAUUCUGCUCUGGCAAAUUUCCUAGUUGGGUGCUGUUAUAAACUGCAAAAACUGGUAGAUGAUCACUAAUACUGUUCAUUUCAGUCCGCUUACUGUUUUACUUCCAAUGUCAUUGGUGAAUAUAUUAUCUAUUAAAG